rnacentral:rRNA from 1 species
GGCCUGGCUGGUCGGUCCGCCUCACCGCGUGUACUGAUCCGGCCGGGCCUUUCCUUCUGGCUAGCCGCAUGCCCUUCACUGGGUGUGUUGGUGAACCAGGACUUUUACUUUGAAAAAAUUAGAGUGUUCAAAGCAGGCCUUUGCUCGAAUACAUUAGCAUGGAAUAAUAGAAUAGGACUU